rnacentral:rRNA from 1 species
ACGCUCGACACCUACGGGAGGCGGCAGUGGGGAAUAUUGCACAAUGGGGGAAACCCUGAUGCAGCGACGCCGCGUGAAGGAAGAAGUAUUUUCGGUAUGUAAACUUCUAUCAGCAGGGAAGAAAAAUGACGGUACCUGACUAAGAAGCCCCGGCUAACUACGUGCCAGCAGCCGAGGUAAUCUGAGCGGGCUGGCAAGGC